AAGUGGACACGUGCAUCCCGUCCGUGUCUUAUUACAACGUAAAGCAGUCGCCGUAUUGUCUUUUGAUGUCAAGGUCAUUCCUUCUCAGCAACGUCGGGACAAACCUCAUCAACCAUGGACGUGCUUAAAACAAAUCUGAGGGUCUAGGUGAAGUAUGCAGUCAUGUUGCAGCCCUCUUGUUGAAGGUAGAUGCAGCUGUCCGUGCUGGUCUUACAUCAACAGCAUGCAAAAGUGAAGCUUGCAAGUGGAAUCCAUCAUAUAGAAAAGAGAUCAAUCCAAUAACAAUCAGUGACAUUGAUAUCAUGGGAAGUCGAAAGACUGACAUUUCAACAACAUCAGCAACAGGGAAAGAUCCGCCACCAGACAGGAAUACCCUCCAAUCAUCAGAUGUUUGCCCUGUUAGAGGACACCUCCGCAUGUUCGUUUAAUUUCAGGGAGUCAGAAUGUUGGUUAUCCAAAUACAGGCUGGAGAUGAUGAACAGUUUCUUCGAAGCUUUUACUUACAGAAUAUUCUGGGCUCAAAUGAGUGACAGACAUUGGCUGUAGCAGAUCACAAGUGGAAAGAUACAGAGGACUUGCAGCAUUCUUAUACUAUCAGAAGGAUCCGCAUCACAAAAGUAUGAAAGGAAAAUAAAGAGCAUCACAAGAGAAUCGCAUCAUAAAAUAAAGAGCAUCACAAAAUAUCUGCAUCAUAAUGACUAAACCAAAUCUAUCUGGUAAUAACAGGCACAUUCCUACGUCCUGGUCUCGAGUAAACAUUUCAGCAAGAUUCACUUAAAGUUAACUGAUAAGUUGGCAUGCUUCAAACAUGAGUUAUACACACAUGACUAAAAGCAAUUUAAUAAACAGUGCAGCACACUUCAAUCCCACUUUCGGACUCAAAAUCGAGUCCGACACCUGAAAUAAAGGUACCAGCAGGUGCAUUGGGCCUGAAGGGGGAGCAAUUCAUCCAUUCUCAAAGGCAGCAAUAAUCAAUGGCUGACACAGGGAUCUUUUCCUCCGGGAAAAGUCGAGCUGGGGCGCAGUCUGCUUCUUCAGGACCUCGGGGUUAGACUACCUGGUCCCAGGUAGAUUCACCGGGAUUAUUCUCCCUGUGUACAGUGAAAUCAACCCUUGUAGAAUGUCAUCAAUGGGUGCCAGCCAGCACGAGAUGCCGUUUUCCAGUUGUCGUCACGUGGAGGGAUCGCUGAGCCUGAGGCGGACCUGGCGGGUCGUGUAGAUGAUGUGGAACCAUGUGACCCCCUUUCUUUCAAGACGUACUGCUGUGGCUGUCUGCUCAGUUACUUGGAAGGGACCUGUCCACCUAGGUUCAGACCAUUGUCGUUUAAUCACUUUUAACCACACAGAUUCGCAAAUGUUCCUAUCGAGGGGACCGUCUGGUAGUCAAAUGGGAGAAAUUGAAUUGUUAGUUGUCUUGGGCCUGCAACUUCACCCACAACCAGUGGAGCUAUGGGUGCAGGAAACGUGUCUGUUAGUAUGACACUCGAAUGGAGUCUAACCUUCAGAAGAAUUUGAUGACAUUUGAAUGUUCAUUAAUGCCAAUGGAAGAGCUUGCAACCAAUUGUGUGUGGAUGAAGCCAAAGCCCCAGCUAUCUUUUCCUCAAUGUUCCUGUUCAUGUGCUCAACCUAACCCCGCGACCGUGGAUGACACACAGAACCAAAAUGAUGUUUCAAAACCAAUGUUUUUUCGACAACAUGGAGAUAUUGUUCCAUUGUCUGAUCUAAUUUUCCUAGGGAAUCAGCCCAUUGGAAUAUAAUGAUUAACCAAAUGUUUUACCACUACGCUCGUUGUUUCAGAUUUGCAGGGAUAUGCUUCUGGCCAUCCUGAAAAAUAAUCUACUAUAACUAGCAAAUACCGGUAACCUGACACUGUUUUAAUCAUGUCAGUGAAAUCCAUUGAAAUCACCUGACCAGGAGCGUCCACGUCCGGAUCGUGUACUCCCUGUGGUGGUUUUGUUGUAGGCAUUCUGUUAUACCUACUGCAAACGCUGCAGUCCAGUAGUUCAUCUUCAACAAUUUGUCUCAUAAAAGGAUGCCACCAGGAGUGGAGUCGUCUCAGUGUUUCAUCCACACCGACAAGGCAUGUUCCAUGGGCUUCACAAAUUAGAUUUUUCAAUCAUGUCUGAGAUUGAAUGGAUUUACCCUCUAUUCGCCAUAUGCCAUCCUCAUGUUUGACACCCGCUUUUGACUUCGACAGAGUCUUCUGGACUUGCCUUUUCCUGCCACAACUGAACUGUUUCUACUGUCACCUGUGGAUUGUCACA